rnacentral:tRNA from 1 species
GCUUAAUCAGUUUUUGAAAAUUUUGAAUUGUGGUUUCAACGAUGAUAAUUAUCAUUAGGCA